AGAUUGGUUGUUGCGAAAAGUGGAAACUGACUGUAAGUUCUUCCAAGAGCCGCGAAAAGAAGAUCUCGCCCUACACCGAUGGUAGGCAUGGUGUUGUUCUGGUCGUCGAGAUAGGUGCUUUCAGAAUUCCAAUUUUGUGAGAAGCUGUAACUUCGCCAUGCUUUUGUUUGCCGUUAGUUUCCUUGUCGGCCCAUGAUAAAAAGACCAGUAUUUAUUAUAAGCCCAAUCCUCAGGAAAAAAAAAGAUUUUUCUUUUAUUUUCUUUUUUUUGUUGAGCAAAAGACGGAGGAUGCAAACCUAACCAAAACUUGCAAAUUUACCUUGGACCAAAUUUAGGAGAGACUUUGUUUUCUGAUUUUUGUUAGUUAGGGGCAUUUUAGGUUUUUUGAUGUGGUGUCAAAUUUUUAGAUAUGGGUAUUUUAGGUUUUUACAGGGCACAUUGGUUUCUUAUAGAUAUAUAGAUUGUAUGUACAGAACUUAUAUACAAAUUGAUAAUUAUAAGAUAAAUCUAUUGUAAAUUGAGAAUGAAAUUUGAACAAUAAACAAUGAAAAAUUGAAAUUUGUAACAAGAGAGAACUAAUCCAUAUUUAGGGUUCAUAUGAAUAUUAGGGUUUGGAUGAAAAAUUGAAAUUGGAAUCAGAAUCCANNNNNNNNNNNNNNNNNNNNNNNNAGGGUUUCGCUCGCAGAAGAAGGGAGGGUGAAGGUAUGAUGCGUGAAAAGAGAAAGAGGAAAAGGGUUUUAGUGAAAAGAGGGAUAAGGAUUUUCGCAUAGAAGAGAACACUGGGAAGAUCUACUAGUUUUUGUUAUAUUUUUAUUAUUUUAUAUUUAACUAUAGGUUAACACAUUUG
rnacentral:lncRNA from 1 species